UAUUCACUUGACAUUCUAUUUGGGAAGGUAUUGUCUACAGAGAUGGAUGUGCCCAUGGAGACAGGAAGAGGACUGAACAAGGGACCUCUACAAGAACAGUAAUUGUUUUUGCCAACUGAGUCAUCUCUCCAUUCCCACACACUGAGUUUGGAGGAAAAUGUCUUCUUUCUCUUUCCCUUCUCUUGGUUUUACACCAACUCCUCCCACUAACAUGAUCUGGGAAGAGGUGUCUUCCUUUCCCAGUCAGGGGUCUCAGUGUUCACAACUUGGAGAUCAGGAUGGAAGAAUUCACGCAUGGUGGGCAAGAAUCAGAGCCAGGUUUAGAGUGUCUCUCCAAGGCAGGAUUAAUUGGAGAGAGAUGAGAUGAAGGGAGCAUAUUGCUGAUCACCCUACAGAAGGGGAUCCAUCCCAAAGCCCCUCCUCUAUGGUUUCUGUUGAAUGUAUUCUGCAUUUUAUGGAAACAAGAAUAAUCUCUCACUUUUAAGAAGGAGCAGAAUAAGCAUCACAGUUCUAAGGAUGAAGAGGUCAGAACCUAGCAGUGGAGGAUGAAGAAUAGGAGCUAAUGAGAAGCCAAAUCUGGCCAAUCUAAGUGGUUGCAAACCA